GCGGCCUAUCAGCUUGUUGGUGAGGUAAUGGCUCACCAAGGCAACGACGGGUAGCCGGCCUGAGAGGGCGACCGGCCACACUGGGACUGAGACACGGCCCAGACUCCUACGGGAGGCAGCAGUGGGGAAUAUUGGGCAAUGGAGGAAACUCUGACCCAGCGACGCCGUGUGCGGGAUGAAGGCCUUCGGGUUGUAAACCGCUUUCAGUAGGGAAGAAGCGAAAGUGACGGUACCUACAAAAGAAGCACCGGCUAACUAUGUGCCAGCAGCCGCGGUAAUACAUAGGGUGCAAGCGUUGUCCGGAAUUAUUGGGCGUAAAGAGCUCGUAGGUCGUUUGUUACGUCGGAUGUGAAAACCUGAGGCUCAACCUCAGGCCUGCAUUCGAUACGGGCAAACUAGAGUUUGGUAGGGGAGACUGGAAUUCCU
rnacentral:rRNA from 1 species